UACGAAGGGGGCUAGCGUUGCUCGGAAUCAUUGGGCGUAAAGGGUGCGUAGGCGGCGCGGUAAGUCGGGUGUGAAAUCUCGGAGCUUAACUCCGAAACUGCAUUCGAUACUGCCGUGCUUGAGGACUGGAGAGGAGACUGGAAUUUACGGUGUAGCGGUGAAAUGCGUAGAGAUGUGGAGGAACACCAGUGGCGAAGGCGGCUUUCUGGUCUGUAACUGACGCUGAGGCGCGAAAGCGUGGGGAGCAAACAGG
rnacentral:rRNA from 1 species